GACGAACGCUGGCGGCGUGCUUAACACAUGCAAGUCGAACGGAAAGGCCCUGCUUUUGUGGGGUGCUCGAGUGGCGAACGGUGAGUAACACGUGAGUAACCUGCCCUUGACUUUGGGAUAACUUCAGGAAACCGGGGCUAAUACCGGAUAGGAGCUCCUGCUGCAUGGUGGGGGUUGGAAAGUUUCGGCGGUUGGGGAUGGACUCGCGGCUUAUCAGCUUGUUGGUGGGGUAGUGGCUUACCAAGGCUUUGACGGGUAGCCGGCCUGAGAGGGUGACCGGCCACAUUGGGACUGAGAUACGGCCCAGACUCCUACGGGAGGCAGCAGUGGGGAAUAUUGCACAAUGGGCGGAAGCCUGAUGCAGCAACGCCGCGUGCGGGAUGACGGCCUUCGGGUUGUAAACCGCUUUCGCCUGUGACGAAGCGUGAGUGACGGUAAUGGGUAAAGAAGCACCGGCUAACUACGUG
rnacentral:rRNA from 1 species